GACGGAGGGUGCAAGCGUUGCUCGGAAUCAUUGGGCGUAAAGGGUGCGUAGGCGGCCCGCCAAGUCUGCCGUGAAAGCCCAGGGCUCAGCCCUGGAAGGGCGGUAGAAACUGGGGGGCUGGAGUGCCGGAGGGGAGAGUGGAAUUCCCGGUGUAGCGGUGAAAUGCGUAGAUAUCGGGAGGAAUACCGGUGGCGAAAGCGACUCUCUGGACGGCAACUGACGCUGAGGCACGAAAGCGUGGGGAGCAAACAGG
rnacentral:rRNA from 1 species